rnacentral:rRNA from 1 species
ACGCUGGCGGCGUCCCUAACACAUGCAAGUCGAACGGUAAAACAGGGGCAACUCUGUGAGUACAGUGGCGUACGGGUAGUAACACGUGACUACCUACCUUCGAGUGGGGGAUAACCCCGGGAAACCGGGGCUAAUGCCGCAUAACAUCGCAAGAUCAAAGGAGAAAUCCGCUGGAAGAGGGGGUCACGACUGAUUAGCUAGUUGGUGAGGUAACGGCUCACCAAGGCGAUGAACGGUAGCCGACCUGAGAGGGCGCACGGCCACACUGGAACUGAAACACGGUCCAGACUCCUACGGGAGGCAGCAGUGGGGAAUUUUGCGCAAUGGGGGAAACCCUGACGCAGCAACGCCGCGUGGAGGAUGAAUUCCCUUGGGACGUAAACUCCUUUCGACCCGGACGAUAAUGACGGGCGGGUGA